rnacentral:lncRNA from 1 species
UUUGAUUUUGGCUUAUUUUCACUAAUUUUCAUUUACCUUAUAAGAUAUCAACAAAUUAUUUUUACUAAAUUGUUAGUUGUGACAUGUCAUUACUUAAUAAUUUUGGUUGAAAGGGUGCGUAGUCAAUAAACAGGAGUUUUAGCCCCUAUCAUAUCUAAAAUUAUGCGUAAAGUGAUAUAACUUAUUAACCAUUCAUAUUAGAGACCUAGGGUCUUUUGAUUUGAGAUCCUCAGUUUGUGACCUUGAAAUUGAGGUCAAGGUCAUAGGUAAAUUUGACGUUCUAGAUUAUGAUCUUUGCUUAAAAUUCAUAUCUGUACAUCAUAAAGCCAUAUGAACUGACAUUUUAGACUGAUCUUUAAUUUUUUAAUAUCAAAAUAGAUAUUUACUGGUGGAAAGACCUUCAAUUGUUCUCUGAACAAUUGGUUUUUAAUAUUGUUCUUACAUCUCUUCUGAAAAAAAAACUCCACUUCCUUGUUAUCAGUUAAACUCUGAAACUACAAGUCCAAUCGAUCCCAAACUUUGCAGUCAGCAGGGCAUACAUGUACUAAAGGUUCAUAAAACAACGUGGUGCCGAUAUCUCUCAAGACUUUUCCUAGAGGAAAAAAAAUGCAAUGCCGUAAAAAUUGCUUGCUAGGUCCGUAAAUCUCAGCGAAAUGCUACAAUAAAAUGUCCGCUCCUAGAUUGAAAUACUUAUCUGUGUUACAAACUGGUGCUGAAAAAUGUACAUUAUCAGAAAAUAAUCCUUAAAUGUUUUAAAGUUACACCG